rnacentral:tRNA from 1 species
GGCCGCCUGGCGAAAUGGCAUCGCGUCUGACUACGAUUUCGAAGUUAUCAGGAGAUUGCAGGUUCGACCCCUGCGGUGGUCA